rnacentral:rRNA from 1 species
CGACUACAUGAAGCUGGAAUCGCUAGUAAUCGCGAAUCAGCAUGCCGCGGUGAAUACGUUCCCGGGCCUUGUACACACCGCCCGUCACACCAUGAGAGUCGGGAACACCCGAAGUCCGUAGCCUAACCGCAAGGGGGGCGCGGCCGAAGGUGGGUUCGAUAAUUGGGGUGAAGUCGUAACAAGGUACC